rnacentral:rRNA from 4 species
GACGAGGCACUACGGUGCUGAAGCAACAAAUGCCCUGCUUCCAGGAAAAGCCUCUAAGCAUCAGGUAACACGAAAUCGUACCCCAAACCGACACAGGUGGUCAGGUAGAGAAUACCAAGGCGCUUGAGAGAACUCGGGUGAAGGAACUAGGCAAAAUGGUGCCGUAACUUCGGGAGAAGGCACGCUGACACGUAGGUGAAGUGAUUUACUCAUGGAGCUGAAGUCAGUCGAAGAUACCAGCUGGCUGCAACUGUUUAUUAAAAACACAGCACUGUGCAAACACGAAAGUGGACGUAUACGGUGUGACGCCUGCCCGGUGCCGGAA